rnacentral:rRNA from 1 species
AGUAGUGAUACGCUUAUCUCAAGGGCUAAGCCAUGCAAGUCUAAGUACAGUUGUUAAGCAAGCAUGCCUCGCCUUCCCUGGCGUAACGAACAAUGAAACCGCAUACAGCUCAAUAUAAAGGCCUGAACGGUGAUAGCGUGAGGCCGACGUCGCGUCACCUGUGGAUAACUAUUGCAAAUCUAUAGCUAAUACAUGUUCACAACGUCUCCCGGCCUGGCCGGGAGGCGGCCAACGUUCGAAUAGAACCUAACAAAACUUACGUGAUAGAGAAGGUUGGCGGAUCUGUCGAAGACCGCUUUUCUCUACAGGCUUAUCUAUCAACUAGACAGUAAGGUAAGUUCUUACUGUGGUUACCACGGGUGACGGGGAAUCAGGGUUCGAUUCCGGAGAGGGAGCCUGAGAGACGGCUACCACUUCCAAGGAAGGCAGCAGGCGCGAAAAUUACCCACUUACAGCUCGUAGAGGUAGUAAAGAUAAAUGACAGUGCGGGACUCUUCCGAGGCCCCGUAAUUGGAUUGAUCGAAAUUUAAAACCAACAUAAAUAACUAUUGGAGGGCAAGCCUGGUGCCAGCAGCCGCGGUAAUUCCAGCUCCAAUGGCGUAUAUUAAAAUUGCUGCGUUUAAAACGCUCGUAGUCCAACCUGUACGACGACUAACCGGUACUACCAACGCGGUACGCACUGGUGUUGCCGUCGUAUCAAGUCGGUAUGAACGCGAGUUCUGGCAAUCCUCUCGUUGCUCUUCGCUGAGUGGCGAGUACGGACCGACUAAGUUACUUACAUGAAAUUAGAGUGAUCAAGGCAAGCUGAACGCUUGAAUACGCAUGUACAGUAUAACGUAACAUGCCGAGGGGCCUCUCUCUCGACUAGGUUCUGGGGUCCCUCGGAAUGAUUAACGGGAACUGAUGGGGGCAUACGUAUUGCGACGGGAGAGGUGAAAUUCUAAGAUCGUCGCAAGACGACCUAACGCGAAAGCUUUUGCCAAAUAAGCCUCCGUUGAUCAAGAACGAAAGUUAGAGGUUCGAAGGCGAUCAGAUACCGCCCUAGUUCUGACCAUAAACCAUGCCAGCUAGCUAUCCGCUACGGUAAGUCUACCGGCCUAGUGGGCAGCUCCCGGGAAACCAAGCUUGAUGGUUACGGGGGUAGUAUGGUUGCAAAUCUGAAACUUAAAGGAAUUGACGGAAGGGCACCACCAGGAGUGGAGCCUGCGGCUUAAUUUGACUCAACACGGGAAACCUCACCAGGCCAGGACAUAGCGAUGAUUGACAGAUCAAUAGCUCUUUCUAGAUUCUAUGGGUGGUGGUGCAUGGCCGUUCUUAGUUGGUGGAGUGAUUUGUCUGGUUUAUUCCGUUAACGAGCGAGACUCUGCCUUACUAAAUAGACCGGAACAUAUAUUAAGUUGAGCGAAGAGGUUCGGCCGUUCGUUCGGCGCGCGUUCGUCGGGCAACCGGCGUCGAGCGUCGCGCGCGCGCGUCCUCCUCCUAGCGAUGCUGAACUGUUUCCGAAAUCAAACUCUUCUUAGAAGGAUAAGUUGUAGACAAUUGCAAGAGAAAGAGCAAUAACAGGUCUGUGAUGCCCUUAGAUGUCCUGGGCCGCACGCGCGCUACACUGAAGAAGACAAUGGGUUCUCCCUGGCCGAGAGGUCCGGGUAACCCUUUCAAUCUUCUUCGUGCUAGGGAUUGGGGCUUGCAAUUGCGUCCCAUGAACGAGGAAUUCCCAGUAAGCUCAGGUGAUAAGCUUGGACUGAUUAAGUCCCUGCCCUUUGUACACACCGCCCGUCGCUACUACCGAUUGAGUAAGUUAGUGAGGGCUUUGGAUCGGCUAUCGUCGCGCUUCGGCGCGCGGUAUAGGCCGUAAAGAAGUCCAAACUUACUCACUUAGAGGAAGUAAAA